rnacentral:rRNA from 1 species
AUUGAACGCUGGCGGCAUGCUUUACACAUGCAAGUCGAACGGUAACAGGCCGCAAGGUGCUGACGAGUGGCGAACGGGUGAGUAAUGCAUCGGAACGUGCCCAGUCGUGGGGGAUAACUACUCGAAAGAGUAGCUAAUACCGCAUACGAUCUAUGGAUGACAGCGGGGGACCGUAAGGCCUCGCGCGAUUGGAGCGGCCGAUGUCAGAUUAGGUAGUUGGUGGGGUAAAGGCUCACCAAGCCAACGAUCUGUAGCUGGUCUGAGAGGACGACCAGCCACACUGGGACUGAGACACGGCCCAGACUCCUACGGGAGGCAGCAGUGGGGAAUUUUGGACAAAGGGCGCAAGCCUGAUCCAGCAAUGCCGCGUGCAGGAAGAAGGCCUUCGGGUUGUAAACUGCUUUUGUACGGAACGAAACGGCUCUGGUUAAUACCCGGGGCUAAUGACGGUACCGUAAGAAUAAGCACCGGCUAACUACGUG